GAUGAACGCUGGCGGCGUGCCUAAUACAUGCAAGUCGAGCGAACAGACGAGGAGCUUGCUCCUUUGACGUUAGCGGCGGACGGGUGAGUAACACGUAGGUAACCUAUCUAUAAGACUGGGAUAACUUCGGGAAACCGGAGCUAAUACCGGAUAAUACUUCGAACCGCAUGGUUCGAUAGUGAAAGAUGGCUUUGCUAUCACUUAUAGAUGGACCUGCGCCGUAUUAGCUAGUUGGUAAGGUAACGGCUUACCAAGGCAACGAUACGUAGCCGACCUGAGAGGGUGAUCGUCCACACUGGAACGGGAACAGGGACCAGGGUCCUACGGGAGGCAGCAGUAGGGAAUCGGCCGCAAUAGGCGAAAGCCUGACAGAACAGCGCGGCGUGUGAUGUAGAAGUCUUCGGAUCGUAAAACUCUGUUAUUGGUGGUAAACAGACGUGUAAGUAACUGAACACGGCGUGACGGUACCUAAUCAAAAAGCAACGGCUAACUACGUG
rnacentral:rRNA from 1 species